rnacentral:rRNA from 1 species
UACGUAGGUGGCAAGCGUUGUCCGGAUUUAUUGGGCGUAAAGCGCGCGCAGGCGGUCCUUUAAGUCUGAUGUGAAAUCUUGCGGCUCAACCGCAAAGCGGUCAUUUGGAAACUGGGGGGGACUUGAGUACAGAAGAGGAAAGCGGAAUUCCACGUGUAGCGGUGAAAUGCGUAGAGAUGUGGAGGAACACCAGUGGCGAAGGCGGCUUUCUGGUCUGUAACUGACGCUGAGGCGCGAAAAGCGUGGGGAGCAAACAGG